rnacentral:rRNA from 1 species
UAGGGAAUCUUCGGCAAUGGACGGAAGUCUGACCGAGCAACGCCGCGUGAGUGAAGAAGGUUUUCGGAUCGUAAAGCUCUGUUGUAAGAGAAGAACGAGUGUGAGAGUGGAAAGUUCACACUGUGACGGUAUCUUACCAGAAAGGGACGGCUAACUACGUGCCAGCAGCCGCGGUAAUACGUAGGUCCCGAGCGUUGUCCGGAUUUAUUGGGCGUAAAGCGAGCGCAGGCGGUUAGAUAAGUCUGAAGUUAAAGGCUGUGGCUUAACCAUAGUACGCUUUGGAAACUGUUUAACUUGAGUGCAAGAGGGGAGAGUGGAAUUCCAUGUGUAGCGGUGAAAUGCGUAGAUAUAUGGAGGAACACUGGUGGCGAAAGCGGCUCUCUGGCUUGUAACUGACGCUGAGGCUCGAAAGCGUGGGGAGCAAACAGGAUUAGAUACCCUGGUAGUCCACGCCGUAAACGAUGAGUGCUAGGUGUUAGACCCUUUCCGGGGUUUAGUGCCGCAGCUAACGCAUUAAGCACUCCGCCUGGGGAGUACGACCGCAAGGUU